AUUGGGUGGUCCACAUAAUGACACUAAGGACAGCAAGACAGCAUCUAGGUGCCCCAACACAAACGUGUUGGAUGAUAUCUGGAUCAGAUGCAUUGAUAAAUGCCACUCCAACACUUUGAAGCAAUUGCUUCAUACUUGUGGAACACUUCUGUCGAUCUCUGAAGUUGAAGGUGGUUUUGUUGCUCAUAUUGCCUUUCGUGAUAGCAAGGUUAAAUUGAGAGCAGAGAGGUUUCUUAGCAGUAUCACGA
rnacentral:misc_RNA from 1 species